GACAGAGGGUGCAAACGUUGCUCGGAAUUACUGGGCGUAAAGCGCGUGUAGGCGGACCAGCAAGUCGGACGUGAAAUCCCUGAGCUCAACUCAGGAACUGCAUCCGAAACUGCUGGUCUGGAGUGGUGGAGAGGGAAGCAGAAUUCCUGGUGUAGAGGUGAAAUUCGUAGAUAUCAGGAGGAACACCGAUGGCGAAGGCAAUCCCCUGGACCUGUACUGACGCUCAUGCACGAAAGCGUGGGGAGCAAACAGG
rnacentral:rRNA from 1 species